AAGAAUGUGAAUAAGGGAUAAUGCAUCUACAGAUAAGGAAAAAACCCACAAUGCUAAAAUGUGGUAGAGUAUGAGAACAUGAAUUCCUGGUGAGAAAUACAUUUUUGUUUAUAGGAAUAAUAUGUUGCAAAAUCUUCUGUAUUCUUCAGAACUUGUUUCCAGAGCAGCAUGUGAGGCUCAGGAUCAUUAAAAGUUUCUGCCAGCACUGGAACAUCUCCUGUUGAGGCACAAAAUAUAAAUUGGUGUGUGACAGGAGGAGAGGCAGCAGGGAGUGAAACAGGCUGCUGGGUGUUUGAGGCUCAUAGGUCCUGCAGCUUCUUUUCUCUGUUCUUGACAUGUACCAACUUUCUAAGAUUUUUUUUUCCUGUGACUUCUUGUUAAGUUAAGCUGUUAUUUGUUUUCAGAAUUAAAGGAAAACUGAAUGACAGAACCACAAAAUAUUUUAUGUUCUUGUGCAUACACAGGAGUGAAGAGGGUGCCAAGUCUUUUCAUGCACCAGGCUUGCUGUGCAACAUGAAGGAUUGCUUGCAUUACAACAAGAUAAUGCAGUGCAAUAGUGGUUCCUUUAUGGGUGGAAUGCUGAAAAAAUACACAUAGGAAGUCCCCAGGCUGUUUUGAUGGACUGACAGAAUUCUGCAAAUACCAGCUUUAUGUAAAUCUUUUGGAACAAAACCGGCCAACUGGUGCUCUGUCAGAGACACGUGGGCAGCAGCUUUUAUCCAUGUCUGCAGCAGCCUAACAAUGUCACCCAAACUCAGCCACUCUGCAGUGGAGGGGAGGUGCUUCUGCCUCCAAAUAAAACAUUCAGGAUGGGAGUACCAAAUCCUGAUUUUUAUAUAUUUUUUUCUUUUUUUGUUUUCUCUAUUUUCUCCAUAAUAUCUUCUGUAUUCUUCUUAGCACAUUAUG